UUAACACAUGCAAGUCGAACGGAGAAUUUUUAGUUUACUGAGAAUUCUUAGUGGCGGACGGGUGAGUAACACGUGAGCAACCUGCCUCUGAGAGAGGGAUAGCUUCUGGAAACGGAUGGUAAUACCUCAUAACAUAACGAAGCCGCAUGACUUUGUUAUCAAAGAUUUAUCACUCAGAGAUGGGCUCGCGUCUGAUUAGAUAGUUGGUGAGGUAACGGCUCACCAAGUCGACGAUCAGUAGCCGGACUGAGAGGUUGAACGGCCACAUUGGGACUGAGACACGGCCCAGACUCCUACGGGAGGCAGCAGUGGGGAAUAUUGCACAAUGGGGGAAACCCUGAUGCAGCGAUGCCGCGUGGAGGAAGAAGGUUUUCGGAUUGUAAACUCCCUGUCUUAAAGGACGAUAAUGACGGUACUUUAGGAGGAAGCUCCGGCUAACUACGUGCCAGCAGCCGCGGUAAUACGUAGGGAGCGAGCGUUGUCCGGAAUUACUGGGUGUAAAGGGAGCGUANGCGGGACUGCAAGUCAGAUGUGAAAUACAUGGGCUUAACCCAUGGGCUGCAUUUGAAACUGUGGUUCUUGAGUGAAGUAAAGGCAAGCGGAAUUCCUGGUGUAGCGGUGAAAUGCG
rnacentral:rRNA from 1 species